GAACGACCCCACAGCUUUCUCAGUUCUGACCCAGGCAUUGACGGGCCAGAUGGUGCUUAUGGACAUGGAGUACUGUGCUACAUGUGGAGAGAGGGGUGCUGACAAGAAGUGCUUCUUCUGUAAAAUGGUGGUCUACUGUGGGAAGACGUGUCAGAGGCUGCACUGGUUCACCCAUAAGAGGCAGUGCAAAAACCCCUGUGCCACAGAGAGAUGCUCAACUCAACCGCCAACCCAAACAGAGGGAACUCUCUAGCAAUGCUGAUGACAGUGAUGUAGUGAACGCCGCCGGCUCCAUGCUGGCUCUUUGUCUGGGGUUGUCAGAGUGUGCACUUCAGCACAGUCUUUCUGAUGACUACUGUGAAACCUCCGAGGCCUGUGAAGAUCCUCCUCACGCUGGAAAGGACUGAGAAACAGAAAAAUUUUGGUAGUUUUUUUCUUUGUACAUUUGAAUUCCACUGGGAAUACAGUUCAGCCUCAGCGUGCUGUGCUGUGAUUGGUGCUCUGCAUUUUAUAGAAAACUGUAAACCAUGAUACAGAAGUGUUGGAUUGUAUACUUAUUCUAAGCUGUGUAAGUAGCACACAGAAAACUGGAUAUGUAGAGAACAUGACAAACUUCUAACCAAUGGACAUCCUAUUUUGACUGUGGGCAACUGUUGACAUAGAGAAAAGCUUUGAGAUUUUUCUCUUCCACUUUAAAGGAAUCAUUUACCCAAAAAAAUCAAAUUUGCUGAAAAUUUACUCACUCUCAGGCCAUUUGUGAUGUAGAUUUUGUUUCUUCAUGUGAACCAAUUUAAAGAAAUGUAGCAUUACAUCAAUUGCUCACCAGUGGAUCAUCUGCAGUGAAUGGGUGCCGUCCCAAAAGAGUCCAAACAGCUAAAGGCAGAGUUUCAUAUUUUUGCCC